rnacentral:rRNA from 1 species
UGCCAGCCUCCGCGGUAAUACUAAUUUCCCAAGCGUUGUUCGGAAUCACUGGGCGUAAAGCGUGUGUAGGCUGCGCGGAAAGUUGGGUGUGAAAGCCCGGGGCUCAACCUCGGAACUGCAUUCGAUACUCCCGUGCUAGAGUAAUGGAGAGGUAAGUGGAAUUCCUGGUGUAGCAGUGAAAUGCAUGGAUAUCAGGAGGAACAUCAAUGGCGAAGGCAACUUACUGGACAUUUACUGACGCUCAGACACGAAGGCUAGGGUAGCGAAAGGGAUUAGAUA